CGGCUGAGGGGAGCGCGCUCGGUGACAGGAAUGCGAGCGCGCGUGUGGGGCUGCGCGGCUCUGUCGUGACAGGAACGUCACAUAAACUGCCGCGGGGUGCGUGUGGGGCUGCCCGGCUCUGUCGUGACAGGAAUUUCACAUAAACGGCCAGUGAGGCUUGGGCUGCCGCCACCUCAGCAGUGAGGUGGACGCAGCCAAAGGGAAAUAUAUGUUCCCGUACCAGCAGCAGGUAGAAUUUGUCUACCACAGAAGCCAAGAGAUCGUGCAUACAAAGGAUAGUGUUGCUGCUGGGAGAUUUCUACAAAUGGAUUCCUGUUCCUGCACAGAACAGCUGCUCACUGCCUUGGUAGUGCAAAAGAGAUGUACUGUACCAUGAACAGCUCCUGAAGAGUUCCCCCAUGCAAUGCAUAGCCAUCAUUUCAUAUAUUUACUGAAUCACAGUUAUUCCUAUGGCUUUUCAAAAUUGAAAGGAUGAUAUCCUUAUGCUCUCCAUGUAGGUGAGUAGCAAUAAUGUGAGAUUGGAAAGCUUUCCACAGUCAUGGAGAUUACCUGAUUUUCAGCCAUUGUUUCAGACAAAUGGCACACGACUUAUUUAGACUUGACAUUUUCUGAUAUGACACGAGCUGAAGCACCUUUCUGUGUUUUUUGUUGAAGAUUGAAUCGAAACUCAUUAAAAGUUACUAGUAAAAUACCAAAGUAACACACUCUAAUUUUCAUUCUCCUAUACUGUCAAAGAAGCUCUUUUAUUAGUUACAUGAUAACUUCAAAUUUUAUGUUGAUAUUUUUUGUCUCCUAUAACAUAAGGCAAAAUCAGAGAUUGAAACCAGAUGAUCCUGUUUGGAUUACCAGUGAAAUUCUUCCAGUCUGAACCAUCAGAAAGCCAUGGUGGGCUUUGUUUUUAAAAAGGCACUAUUUCUGUGGUAGGAGUAAUGGAUGCAAUUGCACUGCAUUUGUCACCUUCCCCUACCUUUGUUAAGGUCUCAUCAGCUUCCUAACGUGGGAAGAAAAGAGAAGCUGUAGAACUGCUUUCAUUUUCUGCUACUGUGACUAACCAAAUCUGAAUACAUUUUGCUUUAGUGGAAUUUCUGUUGUGUUGAUCUUUCGUGUUCCUUAUUUCUGCCAUUCAAUACAAUCUAUAUAGGUAUUUCACAAAAAUGGUAUGUUGUGGAAGGGGCAAUUCAUUAAUCUCUCAGAACUCAAGUUUUCCAACAUAUCAGAUCUGUUUUUCUCUGUUUAUUAUGCAUGGAUCUCUUCUGUAUUUGUCAAUGGUGUUAUAUGCAAAUUCAAAUUAUCCUGGCCUACAAUACUUGUUUUAUUUAAAGGUUCCAGGUUUCUAAAAGAUUGCUUGACUCUUGGGUGGUUUUUGUGUGUUUUUUUUCAGCCCAGUUAGAAAAAGAAAACCUCUCCUGAGUCAUAUUUUAAAAAUACUGUUAGGCUCUAAAGCUGCUUCUGCUCCUGUGUCACAAAGCAUUAUUGAGAAGAUAUUCAUUUCUGCCUCCUACAAUUGCUCAGACAGAGAGCUUCACAGAUUCUUUUCCACUCAUGUUGCAACUAUGCUGGCAGCAUUCUUGUUCCUAGAAGUGUGUUACAACGAUCUUCCUGAUAUGAACAGACUCUGCAGACAGAAAGCAAAACCAUUACAGACAUUGUCCUACCUUGUUCUGACUGCAAAUUCAAGAAUCAUCACAUCCACAGCUGAAAUAGAAGCUGUAGGAAGGGAUCAGCAGAUCUGCUAACUCCUAUUUGCUGUACAAGAACUCAUGGAAAUCCUGCCCUGUCAGAACCUGUGGCUACUCAUCAUCCCUAAGAAAACACGGAAUCAUGGUUAGCUGUGAAGAGGUGAGGCAGUUGGACUCCAUGAUCAGUAAAGUUCCUUCCCAACCAAACCAUUCCACUCCAUUCUGUUCCAUUCUACUCUACUAUUUCAUGUUGUCUACAUGAGCCUUUUAAACUUUAGACUACUAUAACCUUCAUGUGUCUGUCCUCUCUCAGGCUGAAUAAAUGUCAAAUGGUGCGUUCUGUCCCACUUGUCACAAGUGCUAUUGUAUGUCCACCCUGGAUCCAUAUCAAAUUAGUGUUGAUGAGGGUUUCCAGUCUUUAUUGAAAUACAAUAUAAUGGAGGAUGUAUAGAAACUACAAGUACAAAAACAGGGCUCAAAUGCUCACUUUUGGAAGCAGCUACAUAAUUUUGGAAGAUCAUUCUCUUAUUUCAGAGAUAUUUAAGAUAGGUUUGACAUUUUUAUUAGUAAAGUUUUAUUAGGUUAUUUCAGUUUAUUCUUUGAGGUAUAAACUAGCCAUUGUGGCUUUCACUAGUUUAACUAUACACAUAUCUGAGAUAAAAUUUGUAACUGAUAUAGUUUUCAAAACUUCUGGAAAAACUGUACUGUACAUAGAAAUGCCACAGCCUUAGGUCAUCCCAGACCAAAAAGCAAAUAAUACAUAAAUGCGUGGAUAAGAAUUUCCCUUUUCUGAAGGUAUGAUGUUUCCCCUUUAACUCUGGACUUUACUGGCCUUCUACCUGCCACUGGGUCAGAAUGAUGAGCAUUUGUUGGCUUGCAAGGCAGUAUCAUUUCAGAAGAAAUUCCACUUGGAAUGGAGAAAGCAAACAUUCUGUGAGGUACGUAUUCAGUUACUUACAUGAGAACUGCUUGAAGAAAGAAGACAAGCACUUAAAAGAAAAUGGUUUUCAACAGACAGAAUUUUUCAACAAACCAUUCAGCUUUAACUCAACUCACACAGAAACAGCAAAUAAAUGAGGCCAAGAUACAUAUCAUACUGAGUCUGCAUUAGCUGGAAGGUUUGGAAAUAAUUAUGAGCAAAACUGUUAAUGCUCCAUUUAAAUAGCUGCUGCCUAUCUGUCCAGUAUGAAAGCCCAAUCUGUUGUGUUCAAUCAGCUUUCAGCUGCUACUUGCCAGCAGCCUAAUUCCCCAGUCUUGUCUCUGUGCUGUGCUUGUGCAUUCCACUACCUGCUAAGUUAAACCCUGCUGUCCUGGUUCAGCAUGGAGAUUUCUAGUACUAUGGAAACUAUCCACAAUGGUUCAGACCUGUAAACUGUGCUAAGUAUCCAUACAAACUGACUGAUUGCAGAGGAGCCCCACAUACGGGUGAAAAGAGAAAUCGGCAGCCACAUACAUGAACAGCACUGUGUUCAUCCCUACCAGUCAGUGUGCAUGUAUGCAGUUUUGACAAGCUGUUGAUCUGCAAUAGUUCCACAUUAGGUCCUCUUUUUUUUAAGUGAGCAAAUUGACAAUGCAGUGAGUUGUUCAUCAAAGCCACUAUUAACUAUUAGAUGCUAAUAUAUCUCAGUUUUCCUAAAUCUCUUUGUAUUUGACGAUCAAUAUACUGACUGAUUGUAUUUAUAUUGCAUAAGGAUUCAGUAAUCAACAACUAGACUCCUUAUAUGCUUAGUGUGUGCUAGCUUCUGUGCAAAUUGUGAAUCAGUUCUAAGGGAGUCUCUGCUUAGGUCUGGUAGUUACGAAGCUCUAUGGGUAGUGCUACAAAUAUAUUGUCAUGAAAUGUGCUUCAGGUUGAGAGGCCUCAAACCUGUAGCACUAGCUUUUUUCCUCAGAAAUAUGUAUUAAAAUGGCAAAGUUCAUUGCACAGUCAUUUGCAAGGAACUAAGGAGUAAUUUGUUGACCUUUGCAGAUUAGGUAACGCACACUGUCAUAAGGAAGUGAUAUUUGAGUAACAAACAGCAAAUGUACACAAUUAUCUUUCAUUGACCUCUCAAUGGAGGCAAUCAGGAUUUCCUGAUACUAACGUGUUCGGUGUUCUUGGCAUCUUUAAUAUAAAUUUGCUGUGGUCUGAGUGCACAUUAGUUCUCUAACCAUGUCAGAGGUUGCUUAGUACAUUGCCUGCCUUUAUUUUUUGAAAGAGUACAUUUGCUAGAAAGAGGGAAGAAGGAGAAGGAGUGGAUGUGGAUGUGAAUACUGAAGAUUCUGUGCUCUUCUCUCAGAUUUCACAGAUCCUGAAUCUCUGUGCUUCAGUUUUCACUGAAUUGAAUAAAACUGAAAUUUCUGCAUAAUACAUUGUGAAACUUACUUCCACUUACAGUGCUUUGACAUCAUGAACAGCAACAGAGCAACAAAGAGCAGUGUUCUGCAGCUGUUGGAGAAUAUAUUACAGAAAGAGGACAUGAGUGAAAAUGAAUCUUCUAAUCAGUAGUAUAAUUCAGAAUUUGAAUGCAGUAAAAGUUAAAUAUGGUGCUUUUGCUUCUAUAAUAACUUAAUAACUCAAAGGAUUCUUCAAAAAUUAUCCAGGAAAAAAAUAUGGGAAACUUUUUGAUUCCUUCUGGAGAACUAAAUAAUCUGUUCAAGUGCAAAUGAAUACGCCACAUUCUUAUGUAUGUGUUUUGCAAGAAGGUGAAUUAGUGGUUCUCCUUCUCCACUCUUUCUUCCAUUUUUCUAAUUCUACAUGAGGAUUCUUUUCAGAUUCACGUGUUGGUCUUUAUUUGGAUUGUUGUCCACACUCUUUCUAAAGAAAUGUUUUAAAACCGCUUCUUUUAUAUGGAAAUUCUUGGUACAGCAUUAUACAUUUUUUCUUUUUUAAAAUAAAUCAGAAAGAGAAAGCUUUUCCUGUUCAUCACUCUUAAUGCUUGAACUCAGAACUAACUGGCAGAUGAAGCAGAAUAAAUAAAGAAAUUGGAGCAAUCCAGACCCCGUGGACAAGAGAAUCACUUUACCUCAGGACACUGAGAUAAUUUAUCUGGGUGGCUUAGAAAAAGUGCUAGAUAAGAUUGAAGUAUGGAGAGGCUGAGCAAGUCCAGGCUUAUCAAGAAGCAAUUAAAUCCAGCAACUGGCAUCUGAAUAUAUUAAUAUUGUAGGUUCUGACAUGGAACCAGGAAAAGUGUAUUUGUAAGGCAGAAAAUAUAGCAGAGAUAAAUGCAGUUCUAUAUAUAAUAUAUACAUUUUAUGUAUCCGACAUCUUUGCCAAAAUAUGAAUAACUUGCAAGCAAGUUCCAACUGAAGUUGGAAAAUGCCAGAGUAAAGGCUGCCUUUCCAUGUAUAUGCCCCAAUGUAAUCUUUAAUUACGUGAUUCCGGGCUGCUUUUUCUAACCCAAGAUUUUCUAAUUUCAGCAAGUGUUUCAAGUGUUUUGUAGACUUAAUAUUUUCUCUCUUAAAUAAAGACUUCAGGGAUAUAUUUCCCCACGUUUUCAAAAAGGCAUUUGAAAGUCACAAUAUUCCAUCCCACUAACAUCCUCACGGGUCAUCAGCACACUGUAACCUUUAUCUGUCAUCGUAGAAGUCUUUGGGGCAGCUGUAACUGAAGGUGUGAUGGUGAAGUUUGUGCAAUGAUGCACAAACAGUCCUUUGAUGAGUGGCAGACAGGAGGAUUGUAAGGUAAAGGAGCACUUGAGCAGAGUUUUAAAUAAGCUAUUUACUACUAUUGCGCUCUCUCCUCUAUUUGUUAAUGGCCCCUGUUGUGCAACCAAUGUAUCUUGCUUAGAUAGGGGUCAUGUGAACUUCAUUGACCUGAUUCUGUGCUGUCUUGUACUAUAUGGAUGGUCAUUUCUACUCAAGCAAACUAAAUUUAAGAUGCUGAUUUCGAAUUUGCUAAUAUUUACAAACCACUUUGUUUAUGCAGCUGUGAUAUGUAGCAGAGAAUGCAUGCAAACAGCAUGCAAACCCAGGUGCAUCCAGAGAGGGUUAUACUUUAAAGUGAUUUUUUCACCACAGUUCUAAAUCAGAGUAGUCACAUGGACAGCACAGAAGUUGGACCAAGUCUGCUAAAUCAUCAUUCCUUACCUACUUCUUUCUGUUGUGAAUUGAAGAAUUUUAGUCAGAAGUGUUAAUGUGCAAAAUUUCAUAAAAAUUGUUUGUUUCCUAAAAUCUGUUUAUGAAGCAUUUUGUCUUUCUGCAUGCAACAGGAGUGCUUCCAAACUAAUAUUUACCCCUCUUGCACUGAAAAGGUUGGAAACCACAGGUCCUAAAUUGUUACAGAAGCAGAGCUUUCAGGAUUCAGGAGCCUGAUUUGGUAGAAGAUGCCCUGCCCAUGGAUAGUCAGACAAAGCACGAGAGAGUUAAGUACUUGCACUAUGUUAUUUUCUAGUUUAUUAAUUAAAGUCAGGAUUAUGCACCUGGAACUGAAACUGCAAACUGGAAAUUCUCUCUAAGACCUGGAAACAUCAAUGGGCUGGCUUCCAUAAAUAAUACUGGAAGUUAAACAGCGGUUUCACAGUGUCUAGAUUAUAGUAUAAAUAAGAAAGCAGAAAAAUCCAGGAAAUCCUUAGCUAACAAAUGUUUUGUUUUAAAAAUGAUAUGCUUUUCUUGAGCUCUGAGAACCAGCUUCUCAGUAGACAAUGACUCGCUCAGCGUGUUUGGAAACAGUGAAGCACAGUUCAUUCUCAGGCUUUUCAGGGUUAGCCCAAGAGCUCGCAGACCUGGCAAAAGGUAAGAAACCUAAGAAAUUCUCUGUUAACAAGAGACCAAGCUGGUAUCAAAAACUAUAAAAUGCUACAUGCUGAUACCAAAUAUUACAACAUUUGGCAGCUUUAGGAGAUUGGAUUAGUGUGGUAUUUUGAAUUGAAUAAUCCCAAAGGAUGUUCUUGGCAUGCUGGGCCAAAUUCAGCCAGGACGUAACCAUAUCAAUUUUAGUGUAUCCGCACCCACAAUGAUUUGGUCCUUGUUUUU